CCAAAUGAAGAAGCAGAAGCC
rnacentral:miRNA from 1 species